GACCAACGCUGGCGGCAUGCCUAACACAUGCAAGUCGAACGGACAGAACAGGGAAGCUUUUCGGAGUGGAACUGGAAAGUUAGUGGCGGAUGGGUGAGUAACGCGUGGACAACCUACCUUGUAAAGGGGAAUAACCUCGAGAAAUCGAAGCUAAUACCCCAUAAUAACCUUGCUUCGCAUGAAGUAAGGAGGAAAGGCGGCCUUAGCGCUGUCGAUACAAGAUGGGUCCGCGUCUGAUUAGCUAGUUGGUGAGGUAAAGGCUCACCAAGGCGACGAUCAGUAGCCGGCCUGAGAGGGUGAACGGCCACAUUGGGACUGAGACACGGCCCAAACCCCUACGGGAGGCAGCAGUGGGGAAUCUUCCGCAAUGGGCGAAAGCCUGACGGAGCAAUGCCGCGUGAGUGAAGAAGGCCUUCGGGUUGUAAAACUCUGUCCUUAUCGAAGAGAGAGUGUUGUAGUAACUGACAAUACUGGGACGGUAGAUGAGGAGGAAGCCCCGGCUAACUAUGUG
rnacentral:rRNA from 1 species